ACUGUCAUUCGUAGUCAAAGUGAACUGUCAUAGCAUAUGUUUUGUUUAUCUUUGUGUACUUUAUGCUGUACGUUCGGAAAGUUUUAUUGAAGUGGUAAAGUAACGAAAGUGGCCUUUUCUGGAUUACAUGUAUUGGUGAAUGAAUUCAUUCAUUUGCGGGUUGUUGGGCUAUGGGACGGCAAUCUUCGUCGGGGAAGAUUGGUCCAUAGCCAACCCAUAAUGGUCACGGGACAACCGUGAUAACCAUCUUGCAGCUGCAAGAUGAAAUCAGAUUGGCCAAUCAACACAGUGGGCGAUCCCCUCUCGGCAACUCCGCAGGUGAGGAAAAUGAGGGUAUUUCUUCAUCCCUCGCUUCUUCCGCCGGUCCUGCUAGUCCCGAUAUUGAUCCCCGAGUUUAUUUAAGAUCAACCUUCAGCGGUGUUUGCCGUCGGCAAUCGGGGAUAAGUUUUACUCCCGCACCUCACCAAUUUCUUGGCAAACUGCCGAAGAAUUUGAAAUAAAAAA